UACGUAGGUGGCAAGCGUUGUCCGGAUUUAUUGGGUUUAAAGGGUGCGUAGGCGGUCUUCUAAGUCAGUUGUGAAAUACUUCAGCUUAACUGGAGAGGUGCAAUUGAUACUGGAAGACUUGAGUACUGAUGAGGUAUGCGGAAUGGACGGUGUAGCGGUGAAAUGCUUAGAUAUCGUCCAGAACACCGAUAGCGAAGGCAGCAUACUAAGGAGUAACUGACGCUGAGGCACGAAAGUGUGGGGAUCAAACAGG
rnacentral:rRNA from 1 species